GAUGAACGCUGGCGGCGUGCCUAAUACAUGCAAGUCGAGCGAACGGACGAGAAGCUUGCUUCUCUGAUGUUAGCGGCGGACGGGUGAGUAACACGUGGAUAACCUACCUAUAAGACUGGGAUAACUUCGGGAAACCGGUGCUAAUACCGGAUAAUAUUUUGAACCGCAUGGUUCAAAAGUGUAAGACGGUCUUGCUGUCACUUAAAGAUGGAUCCGCGCUGCAUUAGCUAGUUGGUAAGGUAACGGCUUACCAAGGCAACGGUGCAUAGCCGACCUGAGAGGGUGAUCGGCCACACUGGAACUGAGACACGGUCCAGACUCCUACGGGAGGCAGAAGUAGGGAAUCGUCCGCAAUGGGCGAAAGCCUGACGGAGCAACGCCGCGUGAGUGAUGAAGGUCUUCGGAUCGUAAAACUCUGUUAUUAGGGAAGAACAUAUGUGUAAGUAACUGUGCACAUCUUGACGGUACCUAAUCAGAAAGCCACGGCUAACUACGUG
rnacentral:rRNA from 1 species